rnacentral:rRNA from 1 species
GAUUCAGCGGCGGACGGGUGAGUAAUGCCUAGGAAUCUGCCCGAUAGUGGGGGACAACGUUUCGAAAGGAACGCUAAUACCGCAUACGUCCUACGGGAGAAAGCAGGGGACCUUCGGGCCUUGCGCUAUCGGAUGAGCCUAGGUCGGAUUAGCUAGUUGGUGGGGUAAAGGCUCACCAAGGCGACGAUCCGUAACUGGUCUGAGAGGAUGAUCAGUCACACUGGAACUGAGACACGGUCCAGACUCCUACGGGAGGCAGCAGUGGGGAAUAUUGGACAAUGGGCGAAAGCCUGAUCCAGCCAUGCCGCGUGUGUGAAGAAGGUCUUCGGAUUGUAAAGCACUUUAAGCUGGGAGGAAGGGCAGUAAGCUAAUACCUUGCUGUUUUGACGUUACCAGCAGAAUAAGCACCGGCUAACUUCGUGCCAGCAGCCGCGGUAAUACGAAGGGUGCAAGCGUUAAUCGGAAUUACUGGGCGUAAAGCGCGCGUAGGUGGUUCAGCAAGUUGGAUGUGAAAGCCCCGGGCUCAACCUGGGAACUGCAUCCAAAACUACUGGGCUAGAGUAUGGUAGAGGGUGGUGGAAUUUCCUGUGUAGCGGUGAAAUGCGUAGAUAUAGGAAGGAACACCAGUGGCGAAGGCGACCACCUGGACUAAUACUGACACUGAGGUGCGAAAGCGUGGGGAGCAAACAGGAUUAGAUACCCUGGUAGUCCACGCCGUAAACGAUGUCAACUAGUUGUUGGGUUCCUUGAGGACUUAGUAACGAAGCUAACGCGAUAAGUUGACCGCCUGGGGAGUACGGCCGCAAGGUUAAAACUCAAAUGAAUUGACGGGGGCCCGCACAAGCGGUGGAGCAUGUGGUUUAAUUCGA